CUGUGUAGGGAUCUAUAGAUGCGUGUCACCAUAGACUCAUGAGCUUACUUUGGUUUAUGUGUCUUUGGACUGGUCUGUUUUUAGUGGCACUGGGGAGACUGAGGUAACUUCCCCAACAUCAUGGAUGACAUUAGUAAAAGGGCAGAAGGAACUUCUUUUUUAUAGUUUAAGCUUAGCCAAAAGCUUGCUACUUCAAAAAACAAAACAAAAACACAGAAACCUUGAGUAUUUUGACACUGUUUUUCUCUUCCAGCUCUAUGAGGGUCAUUUUCAUUUAGCAGUUGCUCUCCAGAACCUGAAUCUCCACAAGAAAGCCAUCCAGCAAUUAACAAAUGCCUCAAGGAUUGCCUCCAUACCAAAGGACAGAUGAGAGAAGCAAUAAAGGAUGCUAAUAAAGCUAUUUCUUUGGACAUUCUUAACCCAGAUGUGUACUGUGUUAGAGCUCUCGUGUGGAAUUCAUGCAAAGAAACCAAAAGAGCCAUUUGUGAUUUAAACUAUGGCUUCAAGCUAAAUCCUUCUCACAUUUGUACCUUAAUAUUAAGAGGGGCUAUCACUUAGUCUAUUGGAAAUGAAAAUGAUCAGUUUGACGAGAAGAAAGAU